rnacentral:rRNA from 1 species
AACGAACGCUGGCGGCAUGCCUAACACAUGCAAGUCGAACGAGACCUUCGGGUCUAGUGGCGCACGGGUGCGUAACGCGUGGGAACCUGCCCUUAGGUUCGGAAUAACUCUCCGUAAGGGGUGCUAAUACCGGAUAAUGUCUUCGGACCAAAGAUUUAUCGCCUUUGGAUGGGCCCGCGUUGGAUUAGCUAGUUGGUAGGGUAAAAGCCUACCAAGGCGACGAUCCAUAGCUGGUCUGAGAGGAUGAUCAGCCACACUGGGACUGAGACACGGCCCAGACUCCUACGGGAGGCAGCAGUGGGGAAUAUUGGACAAUGGGCGAAAGCCUGAUCCAGCAAUGCCGCGUGAGUGAUGAAGGCCUUAGGGUUGUAAAGCUCUUUUACCCGGGAUGAUAAUGACAGUACCGGGAGAAUAAGCUCCGGCUAACUCCGUG